rnacentral:rRNA from 1 species
GUUGAUAAGGUUAAGUGAAUAAGGGCGCACGGUGGAUGCCUUGGCACUAGGAGCCGAUGAAGGACGGGACUAACACCGAUAUGCUUUGGGGAGCUGUACGUAAGCUAUGAUCCAGAGAUUUCCGAAUGGGGAAACCCAACAUCUUUUAUAGGAUGUUACGUUUGCGUGAAUACAUAGCGCAUUCGAGGUAGACGCAGAGAACUGAAACAUCUAAGUACCUGCAGGAAGAGAAAGAAAAUUCGAUUCCCUGAGUAGCGGCGAGCGAAACGGGAAAAGCCCAAACCAAUGAGCUUGCUCAUUGGGGUUGUAGGACUCCAAUAUGGUAGUUCUUUCAGAUAAUCGAAUGACUUGGAAAAGUCAGUCAAAGAGGGUAAAAACCCCGUAGAUGAAAUUUGGAAGGCACCUAGGAGGAUCCUGAGUACGGCGGAACACGAGGAAUUCCGUCGGAAUCCGGGAGGACCAUCUCCCAAGGCUAAAUACUCCCUAGUGACCGAUAGUGAACCAGUACCGUGAGGGAAAGGUGAAAAGCACCCCGGAAGGGGAGUGAAAUAGAACCUGAAACCGUGUGCCUACAACAAGUCAAAGCCCGUUAAUGGGUGAUGGCGUGCCUUUUGUAGAAUGAACCGGCGAGUUACGAUUGCAUGCGAGGUUAAGUCGAAGAGACGGAGCCGCAGCGAAAGCGAGUCUGAAUAGGGCGUUUGAGUAUGUAGUCGUAGACCCGAAACCAUGUGAUCUACCCAUGUCCAGGUUGAAGGUGCGGUAAAACGCACUGGAGGACCGAACCCACGUACGUUGAAAAGUGCGGGGAUGAGGUGUGGGUAGCGGAGAAAUUCCAAACGAACUUGGAGAUAGCUGGUUCUCUCCGAAAUAGCUUUAGGGCUAGCCUCGGAUUUGAGAAUGAUGGAGGUAGAGCACUGUUUGGACUAGGGGCCCAUCUCGGGUUACCGAAUUCAGAUAAACUCCGAAUGCCAUUCAUUCAUAUCCGGGAGUCAGACUGUGAGUGAUAAGAUCCAUAGUCGAAAGGGAAACAGCCCAGACCACCAGCUAAGGUCCCAAAAUAUAUGUUAAGUGGAAAAGGAUGUGGGGUUGCACAGACAACUAGGAUGUUGGCUCAGAAGCAGCCACCAUUUAAAGAGUGCGUAAUAGCUCACUAGUCGAGUGACCCUGCGCCGAAAAUGUACCGGGGCUAAACAUAUUACCGAAGCUGUGGAGUACACCAUUAGGUGUAUUGGUAGGAGAGCGUUCUAAGGGCGUUGAAGGCAGAUCGUGAGGACUGCUGGAGCGCUUAGAAGUGAGAAUGCCGGUAUGAGUAGCGAAAGACAGGUGAGAAUCCUGUCCACCGAAUGACUAAGGUUUCCUGGGGAAGGCUCGUCCGCCCAGGGUUAGUCGGGACCUAAGCCGAGGCCGACAGGCGUAGGCGAUGGACAACAGGUUGAUAUUCCUGUACUCGUUGUUUUUGUUUGAGCAAUGGAGGGACGCAGGAGGCUAAGGAAUGCAGACGAUUGGAAAUGUCUGUCCAAGCAGUAAGUCUUGAUAGGAGUCAAAUGCUUCUGUCUACACGGAUAAGCUGUGAUGGGGAGGGAAAUAAUAGUACCGAAGUUCCUGAUGUCACACUGCCAAGAAAAGCUUCUAGUGAGAAAACAAUGACCCGUACCGCAAACCGACACAGGUAGUCGAGGAGAGAAUCCUAAGGUGAGCGAGAGAACUCUCGUUAAGGAACUCGGCAAAAUGACCCCGUAACUUCGGGAGAAGGGGUGCUGAUCUUUGAUCAGCCGCAGUGAAUAGGCCCAAGCGACUGUUUAUCAAAAACACAGGUCUCUGCAAAAUCGUAAGAUGAAGUAUAGGGGCUGACGCCUGCCCGGUGCUGGAAGGUUAAGAGGAGUGCUUAGCGUAAGCGAAGGUACGAAUUGAAGCCCCAGUAAACGGCGGCCGUAACUAUAACGGUCCUAAGGUAGCGAAAUUCCUUGUCGGGUAAGUUCCGACCCGCACGAAAGGCGUAACGAUUUGGGCACUGUCUCAACGAGAGACUCGGUGAAAUUUUAGUACCUGUGAAGAUGCAGGUUACCCGCGACAGGACGGAAAGACCCCAUGGAGCUUUACUGUAGUUUGAUAUUGAGUGUCUGUACCGCAUGUACAGGAUAGGUAGGAGCCGUAGAAAUCGGAACGCUAGUUUCGAUGGAGGCGCUGGUGGGAUACUACCCCUGCGUUAUGGCCACUCUAACCCGCACCACUGAUCGUGGUGGGAGACAGUGUCAGAUGGGCAGUUUGACUGGGGCGGUCGCCUCCUAAAAGG